AGUGAACGCUGGCGGUAGGCCUAACACAUGCAAGUCGAACGGCAGCACAGUAAGAGCUUGCUCUUACGGGUGGCGAGUAGCGGACGUGUGAGGAAUACAUCGGAAUCUACUUUUUCGUGGGGGAUAACGUAGGAAAACUUACGCUAAUACCGCAUACGCCCUACGGGUGAAAGCAGGGGAUCUUCGGACCUUGCGCGAUUGAAUGAGCCGAUGUCGGAUUGGCUAGUUGGCGGGGUAAAGGCCCACCAAGGCGACGAUCCGCAGCUGGUCUGAGAGGAUGAUCAUGCUCAAUAGAAUUAUGACACGGUCCUGAGUCCUACGGGAGGCAGCAUUGGGGAAAAUUGGCCAAUGGGCGCAAACCUGAUCCAGCCAUCCCGCGUGGGUGAAGAAGGCCUUCGGGUUGUAAAGCAAUUUUGUUGGGAAAGAAAAGCAGCAGGUUAAUACCCAGCUGUUCUGACGGUACCCAAAGAAUAAGCACCGGCUAACUACGUG
rnacentral:rRNA from 1 species